UUUUGUUGUUUGUACUGUAUUGAUGUGUAUCACAGCAUUUCUGCCUAAUAACGUGGAGUUUCAAUAAGAUGACAGUUCUCCAGAAGCAUGACGAUGUGAAAACAGGCACUCUCUUUGGUAAACAACAGACAGCAGAAUCAAAUUUACUGUGCUAAUACCCCAGGAACGCAAGUCAAUGAAGUCCUGCAGGAACCGUUUAAAGCACGAGGGCGGUGAUUCACUCCGCAAGGCUUCUCAAAACAGACAAAGCUUUCUGUCAACCGGAUUCAGAAAACCCGGCCCGUUUCCCCACCUUGUCCAUGUGAAACCAUCUGUGCUGUCCAGAGAAGUCCCUGUUUGAGAAGACGAGUUUGGAUCCAGGGUGUUUACGCGACUCCGUCUUGCGCAAGCUGUUUGGGUCGGAGAGACGAUGCCACUGCUGCUCAAAGAGAAACGCAAGUCUGGGCUUCUCCGUUGCUGCGGAGCAGAUGUGUGUUUGUUUACAGAACCGAGAAACAUAAGGCAGCCCCUAGUUGGAAAGUCAGAAUAAAAGAAGAGUUGAAUCUCUGUUGAACUGCUCAGCCACAAGCCAACUGCUAGGUUCAGUAGAAGGAGGAAGAACAUAUUGUUCUGGAUCUGUUUGAAGCUUUCUGAGUUUUGGCUUUUUGUUAUUUAGGCAUUCGUUAUCUGCUGUCACUGUGGAAGAUCUUCACAUGCAUUCUCAAGGAGUGCCACUUCUCCAUCGAUGUAACUUCUGGCAUACAGCAUCCUCCAAGUAGACCGCUUGAUAUAACAUAUAAAACAUUUUUACUUGGUUUAUGAUUCAAUUUUUCUAAGACAAUAUCAAAUGUAUUAAGUCAUUAUUGUAAAAAAAAAAAAAAAACCCUAAAUAAAUAAAAUGGGAAACACAUAAUUGCAAAACACUUAAGAUUAGAAUAAUGACAUGCAUCAUUUAUUAAUCUGUACAAAAGUGGCCUCCUAAAAAGCUUCCUUAAACAAACAUCAAUGCACUUAUGGGUAAAAGUAAACAAUUCCUGAUGCAAUAUUUAUUGUGUUCCAUGUCAAGUUUAAAAAUGAAAGUAUUUUGAGAGAAAAAUGAGGGAAUUUUCCUUGUCCCCUGUUGAGUCUUGAAUUCACACAUGUGAAUGCAUACGUACAUGUGCACAAAAAUACACACACGCAUGCGCACACACACACACACACACACACACACACAGCUUUUACUUCGUCUUUCAUCAGCCUUCCUUCUCUUCAUCACUGCUCU